CCUACGGGGGGCAGCAGUGAGGAAUAUUGGUCAAUGGACUAAGGCCUGAACCAGCCAAGUCGCGUGAGGGAAGACGGUCCUAUGGAUUGUAAACCUCUUUUGUCGGGGAGCAACGAGGCCACGUGUGGCCGAAGUGAGAGUACCCGAAGAAAAAGCAUCGGCUAACUCCGUGCCAGCAGCCGCGGUAAUACGGGGGGUGCAAGCGUUGUCCGGAAUCAUUGGGCGUAAAGCGUUCGUAGGCGGCAAGGUAAGUCUGAUGUUAAAGCCCGGGGCUCAACUCCGGUUCGGCAUUGGAUACUAUCUAG
rnacentral:rRNA from 1 species